ACUUGCUGUGGAAAAGGCAUUU
rnacentral:miRNA from 1 species